rnacentral:misc_RNA from 1 species
UCGAAAAGCAAAUGCAAAACUAUUAAAACUAAAAUUAGCCAUGCAAUAAAAAUUACUCGCAAGAAAAACUCAAUCAGCGAUCAGAUCAGAUGACACAUCUAUUCACUGGGGGUCAGCCCCGCCCCGCGACGGUCCACUGGGUCAUUUGGCUGAUUUCUCUGUGCGCCUUCACAAGUCUGUUGGACAUCUGUCGAGCCGAGCGUACCAAUGUGGGUCUUAUUUAUGAAAACACUAACCCCGAUCUUGAGAAAAUUUUCCACUUGGCCAUUGGCAAGGCGAAUGAGGAGAAUGAAGAACUUAAGCUCCAUGGCGUGGCCGUGGCCAUUGAGCCGAGCAAUGCUUUUGAGACCUCCAAGAAAUUAUGCAAAAUGCUAAGGCAAAAUUUGGUGGCAGUCUUUGGACCCACGACAAAUCGAGCGGCUCGUCACGCACUGAGCAUUUGCGAUGCCAAGGAGCUACCUUUUCUGGACACACGCUGGGACUUUGGUGCCCAGUUGCCCACCAUCAACCUGCAUCCGCAUCCAGCGCAAUUGGGGGCUGCGCUCAAAGAUUUGGUUACUGCCCUAGGAUGGGAGAGCUUCACCAUCAUCUACGAGUCGGGAGAGUAUCUGGUCACAGUCAAUGAGCUGUUGCAGAUGUAUGGCACAGCUGGUCCUACCAUAACACUUCGUCGCUAUGAUCUAGAUCUCAAUGGCAACUAUCGCAAUGUGCUGCGGCGCAUACGCAACUCCGAGGACGAUUCAUUUGUGGUGGUUGGAUCGAUAGAAACGCUACCUGAGUUCUUUAAGCAGGCGCAGCAAACAGGCCUGCUUACCAGCGACUAUCGCUAUAUCAUUGGGAAUCUUGAUUGGCACACCAUGGAUCUGGAGCCCUAUCAGCAUGCCGAUUCCAACAUUACCGGGUUGCGCUUCGUUUCACCAGAGAACGGGCAGGUACUGGAGGUGGCUAAGGCAUUGUACGAGAGUGAAGAGCCAUUUCAAAAUGUAUCGUGUCCUCUGACCAACAGCAUGGCCCUCAUCUACGACGGCAUUCAGUUGCUGGCCGAGACAUACAAACAUGUUAACUACCGACCCAUGCCCCUGAGCUGUGGGGACGACAGUGCCUGGGACAAGGGCUACACGCUCGUCAACUAUAUGAAGUCGUUGUCGCUCAACGGCCUCACGGGCCCCAUUCACUUUGACUACGAGGGACUGCGCACGGAUUUCCAGUUGGAGGUCAUCGAGCUGGGCGUCUCGGGCAUGCAGCAAAUUGGGCAGUGGAGCACUGAGGCCGGCUUUGAAAUGAAUCGUCCCGCACCAGCACAUACCCUCGAGCCAGAUAUGCGCUCGCUGAUGAAUAAGAGCUUUGUGGUAGUCACGGCCAUUAGUGAACCCUAUGGCAUGCUGAAGGAAACCGCCGAAAAGCUGGAGGGCAACGCUCAGUUCGAAGGAUUUGGCAUUGAAUUGAUUGAUGAGCUCUCGAAGAAGCUUGGCUUCAGCUACACCUUUUAUUUGCAGCCGGACAAUAAAUAUGGUGGCAUAGAUCCCAAAACUGGCGAAUGGAAUGGCAUGCUACGCGAAAUAAUAGACAACCGCGCUGACAUGGGCAUAACUGAUUUGACCAUGACAUCGGAGCGGGAGAGCGGUGUGGACUUCACGAUUCCCUUCAUGAAUCUGGGCAUUGCAAUUUUAUUUCGCAAGCCGAUGAAGGAGCCCCCCAAGCUGUUCUCGUUUAUGUCGCCCUUUUCCGGCGAGGUUUGGCUUUGGCUGGGUCUCGCUUACUUGGGCGUAUCCAUCAGCAUGUUUGUUCUGGGCCGCAUGUCGCCAGCCGAAUGGGACAAUCCAUAUCCUUGUAUAGAGGAGCCCACCGAGCUGGAGAAUCAAUUUAGCUUUGCCAAUUGCUUAUGGUUCUCAAUUGGUGCUCUGCUGCAGCAAGGAUCCGAGCUGGCUCCCAAAGCGUUCUCUACGCGUGCCGUAGCAUCUUCUUGGUGGUUCUUUACGCUGAUUUUAGUUUCCUCCUAUACGGCGAACCUUGCCGCCUUUCUCACUGUCGAAUCGCUCGUGACGCCAAUAGAGGAUGCCGAAGACUUGUCGGAGAAUAAAGGCGGUGUCAAUUAUGGUGCGAAAAAUGGUGGCAGCACCUUUACCUUCUUUAAAGACGCAAAAUUUCCCACGUACCAGAAAAUGUACGAGUUCAUGAAAGACAACCCCCAAUAUAUGACGAAUUCAAAUCAAGAAGGCGUCGAUCGCGUCGAGAAUAGCAAUUAUGCAUUCCUCAUGGAGUCCACAACAAUUGAGUACAUCACAGAACGGCGUUGCACACUGACCCAGGUCGGGGCACUCCUAGAUGAGAAGGGCUACGGGAUUGCCAUGCGAAAGAAUUGGCCUUACCGCGACGUCUUGAGCCAGGCGAUACUAGAGCUGCAGGAGCAGGGUGUGCUAACCAAAAUGAAGACCAAGUGGUGGAAGGAGAAGCGUGGCGGUGGCGCCUGCUCGGAGGUUGCGGAUUCGGAUGCCUCCUCGUUGGGCUUUGCGAAUUUGGGUGGCGUGUAUCUGGUCAUGUUCGUGGGCAGCUGCUUUGCCAGUAUUUAUGGCCUGAUUAACUGCUUGCUCAGCAUCUACUGGACCGCGCGAGAGAACAAGCUAUCCAGCUCCUCCGACGCGUUGGAAGAAACGCUUUUGUGUCGUGACUAAAAAUGGGCAUGGGCAUAAAGGUCAAUUGUGACUUAAAUAACGAAUAUUUUUCAACAGCUUGUACAUCGAUUUAUGGGAAACUCGAACUUUAAAUAACAAUCAUAUCUUUGACUAGUUAUGCGAUAUGCUUUGCAUGGCAGCUUACCAUAAUCAAUGCAUGCCCACCUUUGCCAAAGUUGACCUAAAUAUUAAAGGAGCUUCGUACAUUCCUAGGUCAACUUCAAGGACGAACUUCUGGAUGAAUUGCGCUUUAUUAUACAAUGUUCGGGAAACACUAAGGCGGUUAAGUAUCCCAAGG